UCUCUCUCUCUCUCUCUCUCUUUCUCUAGGGUACAGCCUCUGUUCUCCAGCGUAGAUCUGACAAUGAGGAGUACGUCGAGGUUGGUCGUCUGGGGCCGUCCGACUACUUUGGUGAGAUCGCCCUGCUGCUGAACAGGCCGCGGGCGGCCACAGUGGUGGCCCGGGGACCCCUGAAGUGUGUGAAGCUGGACCGGCCCCGCUUCGAACGGGUCCUGGGGCCCUGCUCGGAGAUCCUAAAGAGGAACAUCCAGAGAUACAACAGCUUCAUCUCUCUCACCGUGUGAGGGGCCACCGGGGGCCAAAUGGGGAGGGAAAGGUGCGGAUGGGUGGGGAAGGGGGGUUCCGGUGACAGGGCUUCUUCCUGCCUUUUUUUCAUUUGGCGUUGUUCUUCUAAUUCUGAUCUUCUUCUUCUCCUUCACUUUGACCUGUACUGUCUCUGUAGCUUUAUUUAAAUGAACAAUGAAACAUGUGGGAUGAAUGUGGCGAGGACGGACAGACAGUGUGGAUGUACUUUAAAUGGCUCAUAUGUUACAGGGGUCAUAUAUGUUUACUGAAUAUGAUACAUGCUUGGAGAAUGCAAUGAAUGGAGGUAGAUUGCACUUGUAUGUAUUUUAUGUGGUAAACUAUAACAGGGGAGUGGUGGGGCAAUUCAGGAAGGGAAGUCAUGAAUUCAGGAAGUGAUGUCAUGUUUACGUACAGCGAUGGAGGAAGUUGGGUGUCUUUGCGCGCUGGUUGUAGUUUUUUGCCUUUUCGCUUUAGGGUCCUGGUCGUUGGUCCGUGGUUGCCAUUUCUACGUCAAAUCAACCCACUACCUGAUGACACAGGCCUUUGUUACCUAAAAACUAGAGGUAGACGUAAAAACAACUUUAAUUCUUGUCUGUUUCAUUGAUCUCAAUGCUUUUUAACUGUGCUUGUGUUGCUGGUACGAAUGACGAUGGGGUGUUUGUUAGAAGUUAUAUUUUCAAUAGGGGUUUUAUUGAUGGAUGCUGCAAAUGUGCCAUGUGAAGGAGUGUGGCUUUUAUUUUGUAAAGAUACCUCCAUUCUGAUGUUUUAUCUGAAUCUGAAUCUGUAAAUUGUUCCAAAGGCGCAAUAGUGUUUGUUAGAUUAACACACACACACACACUCUCUCAAACACAUAACACACAGACACGGUCACACACUAACAGACACACACAUGCACAUGUACACACACAUACACAAACACACACGUUCUGACAUACACUCAUACAGGUGGAUAUACACACACACAUACACACACUCACACACACACAAACCCACUCACACACACACACACACUCUCUCAGGACUAUAAAUUCAUAAUACAAAUGUCUUACACUGGAUGCUUUUUCAGCUGAUUUUGGUCUGUGUUAAAUUGAUUGGUGAGAUCAUUUUCCAUCACUUUACAGUUCUUAGCUUUUGGUGAAUACAGCAGUUUGUUUAAAUUGUUUUGAUGAUGUUGAUUUAAAUGUUAUUAUAAAUGUUUAAACCAGAGAAAUAGACAAAGUUAUGUUACUCUCUUUCUAAGUCAUUGGAGAUUGUGAUCUCUAUCUCGAUUCAAAGUUGCACAAUAAUUGACCAAUGGCAGAUGAUGUCCAAUGGAGCUGACCUAUAGAACAGCAUCUUUCUGUAUUCCACACUCUCAUUGGUUCUCAUCAUAUUAUUCCAUCCUUUUCAGCAAAUAAAUACAAGCUUCUGAACUCCA